GCUUCAGUGUGCUCCAGCAGCCUCCGGCUCGAACAAAAAGCUACUGUGUUUAUGUCAAAACAAGCUACAGGGAAACGUCUGUUUAGAAAGCGGAGCAGUGGAGAGAGAAGGGGGUUCUGAGGGUCCAAAUGUGGCCCCCUGGCUACAUAUGGUAGCGCGCAGACGAGCAGCGCCGACGGCCGCUAAAAAUAGAGCAGCAUCACAUCAACCUUCUCCUCCUGGCCGCUGAUCUCGUUUCACUGCCCACCAGCUUUUAAUCUUCUCUGGUUGGCAUGGCCACAACCCUCCCAGGCCCCCCAACCCGACCGGGAGCUCGCAUCUAAGCACCGAACGUCAGAGAGAGAGUCCGGCAUGACCUCCGCAGGCGGCCCUGUCAGCUUUUGAGCUCGCGGCCCGAAAGAAGCAACGAGGCGUAUGCAGAGAAAUAUAUACACAGACGCUAAAGAUCCACCGCCACGCACGCGGGGAUGGAAACCAGCAAAAAGGCCGCCGGGAGAAACAAUAUUAAAACCAGACUAACCCUGCUUGGCGUCCAUCUUGAACCUCAGCUUGCGGUAGCUGGGAGGCUCCGCCCACUCCGCGCACGCGGAGAGGGGGUUCAGUCAAGUUUCAUGUCCAGCUGGGAACCAGUUUUCAUAAUUCACUCAGCUGAUGGAGACUAAAUGGUCUGAGGCGAAACAUUACCAGGGAUGGGAAAGAAGUAUGGCGUGCUGUGACGGAGCCAUUCAACUGUGUGAUAUUAUAAAGAGAUGGCUGUUCUAAUGGUGGUGAAGAUGAAGAGGAGGUGUUGCAUAACAGGGCUGUAAAUGUAAGUCAAGGCUUUAGAGAUAAGCAGGAAUUCAAAUCUACCCAGCUAGAACAGAAGUCAACUUUUGAUCGGCUCUACUCAAAAUCCAUAAAAGGAGGAUUGGGCAGUCCAGGUGUACCAUAGGAAAGUCUCACCAGCCUCACAGAGGAGCUUCUCUUCAACAGACUGUUAUCAAAAACCCAAGACUUCUUGAAUUAUUUCAGAAACUACAACUGCACUUUGAUUAAAUGACCCACAAUGUCUUAACAAUGA